AUGAACGGUCGGAUGAGGGACACUCUUUCUUUUUAAUAUAUUGAAUUUAACUUUUAAGUGAAAAGGCUUAAAUUUACUAAAGGGACGAWAAGACCCUAUAAAACUUAAUAUGGUAAAAUUAAUUUUUGUAUUAUAUUCAAUCUCUUUUUAAUUUUUUCAUAUUUCAUUGGGGCGAUGAUUAUAUAAGCUUAACUGUCUUUUUAAAAAAAUAAUUAUAAUUAGUUUUUGAUCCUUAAUUUAGAUUAUAAGAUUAAGUUACUUUAGGGAUAACAGCGUUAUUUUCCUUGAGAGUUCUUAUCGACAGGAGUAGUUGCGACCUCGAUGUUGAAUUAAAAUUUACUUAUAGGUGUAGCCGCUUAUAUAGUUGGUCUGUUCGACCUUUAAAUUUUU
rnacentral:rRNA from 1 species